rnacentral:rRNA from 1 species
UACAGAGGGUGCAAGCGUUGUUCGGAAUCACUGGGCGUAAAGCGCGCGUAGGCGGCCAAUCAAGUCAGGGGUGAAAUGCCGGAGCUUAACUUCGGAACUGCCUUUGAAACUGAUUGGCUGGAAGAUGAGAGGGGAGUGCGGAAUUUCUGGUGUAGAGGUGAAAUUCGUAGAUACCAGAAGGAACACCGGUGGCGAAGGCGGCACUCUGGCUCAUUCUUGACGCUCUGGCGCGAAAGCGUGGGGAUCAAACAGG